rnacentral:rRNA from 1 species
UACGGAGGGAGCUAGCGUUGUUCGGAAUUACUGGGCGUAAAGCGCACGUAGGCGGCGAUUUAAGUCAGAGGUGAAAGCCCGGGGCUCAACCCCGGAACUGCCUUUGAGACUGGAUUGCUUGAAUCCUGGAGAGGUGAGUGGAAUUCCGAGUGUAGAGGUGAAAUUCGUAGAUAUUCGCAAGAACACCAGUGGCGAAGGCGGCUCACUGGCCCGAUACUGACGCUGAGGCACGAAAGCGUGGGGAGCAAACAGG